rnacentral:lncRNA from 1 species
AACAACUAUCUCUUAACUAACUAUCAUUGUUACUAAUGUAUUAAAGGAAAUUAUUCAAAAACCGGUUGUAAUAUUAAUUAAGAAAAAUGCAUCUCAUUUUGUUUCUAAUAUACCUACGUGCAUAUUCUUGUUUAUCAAGGGACCAAAUACUUGAUAUUUUAACUCAUCAUGUUAAUCCAAAGNNNNNNNNNNNNNNNNNNNNNNNNNNNNNNCCUCUUUUGUUACUAUCCUGUUACAUGGCUACACCUUACUUAGUUAUCACUUAAAGAAUCAAUAUGGUUAGUAAAUAUGAGUUAAAUGUCAAAACUAAAACAAAGAAAUGGACAACUAGUGACUCAUAUAUUUGAUCAUGUAGUACCAUGUUCUUAAAUUUUGGAAGAAAGAUGUUUAACUUUACACGAGUUAAUUUGGUUAAGCUAAAAACUAGGAGAAAUGAAAAAACUAGUGACAUAAUCAACAUUUGCAUAAGUAACCUGACUGUUUUAGAAGUUUAAACACAAGGAACGAAAGAACAUAUACUUAAAAGCUAUUGAAAAUAAUGUAGAGUAAUUAAAGGUUUUAAAAUGAAUGAAAGAGACUUGGUUUUCUAAUCACAAUACUUGAAUAAAAGUAAAACAAUGAAACUUUCAUCUUUUAUUGUGUUACAUGAUCAUGGUGAAAAUUAGACAAAGGCUUUGUUACUACCUAACUAACUAAAACUAAUUGACAAUAAAAGAAAACAUUGGUUUAUCUACUAAACUUUAACGAGAAAAAAAAAAGUAUAAGAAGAAUGAAAAGAAAGAAGAGAUUCAAACCUUAAUUGAAUUUCCUAGCUUUGUGUGAGUUGUGAGAGUGAUAAUUGUGUGUAAAAAGUGAAUGUUAAGACCCUAUUUAUAGAUUUCUAAUUCUACUGCUACAUGGUAAAUUCUCAGUCCACGUUUUCACUUUCAGAAGAAAAAUUAGCCACCUUGUAUGCAUAGGUGUAGUUCUUAUCUUAAAAUUAAAUGCAUGCUUAUCUCUUAAUCUUUCAUUUUAUUUUUCAUUUAAUUUUAAUAACAUAGAUAUUUUUCUGGUCUAAAAGAUGUUUUUCUUUUCGUUUUCAGUGAUCUAAAUUUAUACUAUCGAGUUACCCACUGUCCGAAAUUCGGUAGAAUUUUAAUCCCAAAUUUUUAUCAUAGCCUACUAAAAUAUUUCAUGAUUGAUUUCUAAAAUUAUUUUUCUUAAAUUCACAGUCUAGAGAAAAUAUUAAUUA